rnacentral:siRNA from 1 species
ACUGGCGCUGAGUGGUGUGUAAGA